rnacentral:rRNA from 1 species
CCUACGGGAGGCUGCAGUGGGGAAUAUUGGACAAUGGGGGGAACCCUGAUCCAGCGACGCCGCGUGAGUGAAGAAGUAUUUCGGUAUGUAAAGCUCUAUCAGCAGGGAAGAAAAUGACGGUACCUGACUAAGAAGCCCCGGCUCACUACGUGCCAGCAGCCGCGGUAAUACGUAGGGGGCAAGGGUUAUCCGGAUUUACUGGGUGUAAAGGGAGCGUAGACGGUGCAGCAAGUCUGAUGUGAAAGGUCGGGGCCCAACCCCGGGUCUGCAUGGGAAACUGUUUAACUGGAGUACAGGAGGGGUAAGCGGAAUGCGUGGUGUAGCGGUGAAAUGCGUAGAUAUCAGGAGGAACACCGGUGGCGAAGGCGGCUUACUGGAGUGUAACUGACGUUGAGGCACGAAAGCGUGGGGAGCGAACAGGAUUAGAUACCCUUGUAGUC